AGCCCUGAGCGCGCUGCGCCGGAAGUAGCCUCAGGGCCGCUGGGAAACGUAGUUUCUAUCUGCUGCUGAAGGGGAAAAGAUGGAGGUGGGCGUUCCGUGGUGCAUUUCUGUGGCAGCAACCUUGGUCUUGCCAGAGGCCGGUCCCACUCUCCACACACUCCCACCCUACUUAUAAGAAUUCUGACAUAGCCAACUCCCUAAUGUCUCAGUGCUCAGUCUUUUUGGAAGAGAUGUCUGGGUUUCUAAGUUUCCUGCCUAGAACAAAAGUGAAGGAUGCCAAGAGGACAUCUUUAAUUCUCCAAACAAAUAUUAGCAAAUGGCCCAUAACACAUUUUCCAAACAACAGGAACUCCUUGUACUUUUGAGAGAUUGACCUUUUGUCUGUUUUGUCGACUGAUCUCAGAAAGUGUGACUCCAAGAUCCUGUCUGCCGUUACCACAAAAUUAAGUGGAUCAAUCUGAGCAUCUAUUGCAAGUGGAAAAUCCAUGAGAAAAAGAUAGCACUAUCUGUCAUUCUGGGAAGAAAACUACUAAUUGCUGUUUCCUGUGACAGAAAAUGGCAUCUUUAAAGAAUAUCUUUGAAGACAAGAAUUUAUUCUUGAUGAGAAGACGGAAGACAGAUUCAAGAGGCCCUGUGACUUGGCCAAAGCCAUAGAGCAAGUAUUCCACUGGAGCAAAACCAGACUGAGUGCUUGCCAGUUAAGAGAGAAAGAUAAGCAGCAAAUCUGCAGGACGUCUCUCCCAUGCCCACCACUUUUCAUCCCCUUCCAAACAGCUGUAUUGCACAACUAAGAUAUUCAUCUCCAUUCACACUGCACAAAU